UGAUGUUUAGGGGAUUUUCACCUCUUGUUGUUAGGUCUGAAUAGAUUCCAUUUUAUUAUUUUAUCAGUUUCUUACAACUAGAAUAAUAUUUUAUGCUACAAUCUGUUCUUUGAUUUGGAUGGAUUCAGGAUUCUAAUAAAGUAAGCAUUCUUGUAGAAGUCUUAUUCCUGGCACUUCAUGUUCCCAUAUUUGGGGGAUUCACUGCACCUAGCUGUUGGACUACUCUAAGGUUUGCCCAAAAACUUUGCUGACUGUACUCUGCUGCUGCAAAUGAAGCACCUGCAACCAUCAUGGAGAACUAUUGGAAAACAAAUUUUAUGUCAAAUGUCUUACAAAACUGCAAUGUGGUAAAAAUUCUUCAGAGGACUGCAGUAGGCAUUACUUUUGCACAAUCAUUCUGGUUCUGUGUAGGCUAAACUUGCAAGGUAAAAUUACAGUCCACUUGACCCUUAUGUUAUAGCGUGAAGACGAUUCUAACCUGGUGCCAAUUCUGUAGAUGCAACCAACAGAUGAGCUGUGCAAAUAAGCCUUCUUUUUCACAAUAAGUCUUUCUACUGUCAAGUCUAUUUACUGUCACUGUAACAUCAUCCAUCAUGCCAUAGA